rnacentral:rRNA from 1 species
AACGAACGCUGGCGGCGCGCUUAACACAUGCAAGUCGAACGAGAAGGCGUAGCAAUACGCUUGUACAGUGGCGAACGGGUGAGGAAUACAUGGGUAACCUACCCUCGAGUGGGGGAUAACCCGCCGAAAGGCGGGCUAAUACCGCGUACGCUUCCGAUCUUGCGGGAUUGGAAGGAAAGCUGUCCCUUGGGGAUGGCGCUCAAGGAUGGGCUCAUGUCCUAUCAGCUUGUUGGUAGGGUAACGGCCUACCAAGGCAUCGACGGGUAGCUGGUCUGAGAGGACGAUCAGCCACACUGGCACUGCGACACGGGCCAGACUCCUACGGGAGGCAGCAGUGAGGAAUAUUGCGCAAUGGGCGAAAGCCUGACGCAGCGACGCCGCGUGGGGGAUGAAGGUCUUCGGAUUUGUAAACCCCUUUCGGGAGGGAAGACGGCCUUAGACAACUAAGGCGGACGGUACCUCCAGAAGCAGCCACGGCUAACUUCGUGCCAGCAGCCGCCGCCGUAAC